rnacentral:rRNA from 1 species
GGGUUGUGAGGUUAAGCGACUAAGCGUACACGGUGGAUGCCCUGGCAGUCAGAGGCGAUGAAGGACGUGCUAAUCUGCGAUAAGCGUCGGUAAGGUGAUAUGAACCGUUAUAACCGGCGAUUUCCGAAUGGGGAAACCCAGUGUGAUUCGUCACACUAUCAUUAACUGAAUCCAUAGGUUAAUGAGGCGAACCGGGGGAACUGAAACAUCUAAGUACCCCGAGGAAAAGAAAUCAACCGAGAUUCCCCCAGUAGCGGCGAGCGAACGGGGAGGAGCCCAGAGCCUGAAUCAGUGUGUGUGUUAGUGGAAGCGUCUGGAAAGGCGCGCGAUACAGGGUGACAGCCCCGUACACAAAAAUGCACAUGCUGUGAGCUCGAUGAGUAGGGCGGGACACGUGGUAUCCUGUCUGAAUAUGGGGGGACCAUCCUCCAAGGCUAAAUACUCCUGACUGACCGAUAGUGAACCAGUACCGUGAGGGAAAGGCGAAAAGAACCCCGGCGAGGGGAGUGAAAAAGAACCUGAAACCGUGUACGUACAAGCAGUGGGAGCACGCUUAGGCGUGUGACUGCGUACCUUUUGUAUAAUGGGUCAGCGACUUAUAUUCUGUAGCAAGGUUAACCGAAUAGGGGAGCCGAAGGGAAACCGAGUCUUAACUGGGCGUUAAGUUGCAGGGUAUAGACCCGAAACCCGGUGAUCUAGCCAUGGGCAGGUUGAAGGUUGGGUAACACUAACUGGAGGACCGAACCGACUAAUGUUGAAAAAUUAGCGGAUGACUUGUGGCUGGGGGUGAAAGGCCAAUCAAACCGGGAGAUAGCUGGUUCUCCCCGAAAGCUAUUUAGGUAGCGCCUCGUGAAUUCAUCUCCGGGGGUAGAGCACUGUUUCGGCAAGGGGGUCAUCCCGACUUACCAACCCGAUGCAAACUGCGAAUACCGGAGAAUGUUAUCACGGGAGACACACGGCGGGUGCUAACGUCCGUCGUGAAGAGGGAAACAACCCAGACCGCCAGCUAAGGUCCCAAAGUCAUGGUUAAGUGGGAAACGAUGUGGGAAGGCCCAGACAGCCAGGAUGUUGGCUUAGAAGCAGCCAUCAUUUAAAGAAAGCGUAAUAGCUCACUGGUCGAGUCGGCCUGCGCGGAAGAUGUAACGGGGCUAAACCAUGCACCGAAGCUGCGGCAGCGACGCUUAUGCGUUGUUGGGUAGGGGAGCGUUCUGUAAGCCUGCGAAGGUGUGCUGUGAGGCAUGCUGGAGGUAUCAGAAGUGCGAAUGCUGACAUAAGUAACGAUAAAGCGGGUGAAAAGCCCGCUCGCCGGAAGACCAAGGGUUCCUGUCCAACGUUAAUCGGGGCAGGGUGAGUCGACCCCUAAGGCGAGGCC